rnacentral:tRNA from 1 species
UUCUUUAAAGUAUAUAGAUAGUACAUCAAUUUUGUAAAUUGAAAGAGAAUAAAAAUUAUUCUAAAGAAU